rnacentral:rRNA from 1 species
GGCUGUUCGCCCAUUAAAGCGGUACGCGAGCUGGGUUCAGAACGUCGUGAGACAGUUCGGUCCAUAUCCGGUGUAUGCGCAGGAAUAUUGAGAGGAUUUCUCCCUAGUACGAGAGGACCGGGAGGAACGCACCUCUGGUGUGCCAGUUAUCGUGCCAACGGUAAACGCUGGGUAGCCAUGUGCGGAGUGGAUAACCGCUGAAAGCAUCUAAGUGGGAAGCCCACCUCAAGAUGAGUAUUGCCAUGGCUUAAGCCAGUAAGGUCACGGGAAGAACACCCGUUGAUAGGCUCUACGUGGAAGCUUGGUAACAAGUGCAGCGGAGGAGUACUAAUAGACCGAGGGCUUGACCAA